rnacentral:lncRNA from 1 species
CUUACAAAACUUAGUAAGAAAAGUUUACAAGAAAGAGAGAGAGUGCAAAACGGAAGAGAGGGUUUCUAAAACUUGCCCCUUAAUUAAAGAAAAACAAACUUAUUUAUAGGAAAAGAAAGCAUCUUUGUACAGGAUACUGGGCCCCUAUAUGCGUCCUGGUAACAAUGUAUCUACUGUUGAGCUACAGUGUUGCUACAGUAGUCCGGGCAUUUUACUGUUCCGGAAAAGCUUAACACUGCUACAUCUUGUCCUUUAGUUUUGCCAAAAAAUCUUCAGCUUUCUUCAGUGCAUCUACUGGACUUUCUUCUUCAUAUGGUUGAGCUUCGUGCAUAUCUUCACUUGUUUC